CGAGUGCCCCAAGCGUUAUCCGGAAUCAUUGGGCGUAAAGGGUGUGUAGGUGGUCUCUUUAGUCUUCUGUUAAAACCUCGGGCUCAACCCGAGAUCUGCAGAGGAAACGGAGAGACUCGAGGGUGCGAGAGGUGAAUGGAACUCAUGGAGUAGGGGUGAAAUCCGUUGAUAUCAGUGGGGAACACCAAAGCGAAGGCAAUUCACUGGCGCAUUUCUGACACUGAAACACGAAAGCGUGGGUAGCGAACGGGAUUAGAUACCCCGGUAGUCCACGCCCUAAACGUUGUCGACUAGCUUUGGGAGGAAUCGACCCCUUCUGAGGCGUAGCUAACGCGUUAAGUCGACCGCCUGGGUAGUACGGCCGCAAGGCUA
rnacentral:rRNA from 1 species